CGCUCUCCCGUUUCCGGAAUCCCCGCAGGCGCUGGGUCUGCAGAUGGCGUCCAGGUACACAGUGGCGAGUGUGAUUCCGCAGUCUUGGGCUGUUUGGCCAAGCGCCCGCCGGACAUGGUACGCCGAAGGGUCAUCGGCGUGGAGUCCUCGCUUUCAGCGUCCGCGGCUGGGAAAUCGGCCAUCGCUACGGCGGGAACUGGGACUCGGGCUGCGUCCCGGCCCUUCCACAUCGGUCCACCGCACUCGUGGGCGCCCGCAUUGGUGCUGACAUAAUUUCCUGACCUCUGACCCGUAUUGUCUCGCGAUUAAAGAGCUGCGCCUGGAUCCCUCAGCAGUGAGGAGACCUGAAGACCAGAGGAAACACAGCAAGGGCUCACCAGAGAAGACAGGGCAAGGUGAGGGGGAUCUCCUAGCAGAGGAAACAACAUGCGCCAAUCAAGCAAAGAUAUUUUUGUGCAUUCAAGGAACACAGAGAGGAAAGACAGUGGCAGAUGGAGACGUAUAAAGCAGGGAUCCUGUUAUGAAAAGCCCUAAAAAAUAGGGUAUAGAGUUUGGGCCAUAUUUCAGAGGUAAUAAGAAAGCAUUCUGCAUUUUUAAAGUAAGGUUUAAAAAUGUUUCUAAUUAGAGAUACAGCAAAGUUGGUGUGAGAGGAUAAAGACUGAUAUACAUAAUCUGAGGAGUUCAUGAAAAUUCCAUGUAAAGCCUGUAGUAUGAAUUGGUCCUAGGAGACAGACAGCUUCAGGGGCAUAGAGAACUUUAAGCACUUUUCCAAGAAGAGUGAAGGGCUGGAGAAUAAAUUGUGAACUAAAAUAUAUUUUGUGUUUGAGAACAUGAAGUACUUGAGAGUGAUUAUUACACGGUUUUAAGAAAAAACUAGUUCUUUUAAAUAAAACUUUUUUUUAGCUGAGCACAGU
rnacentral:lncRNA from 1 species